rnacentral:misc_RNA from 1 species
AAAGGCUGUUUCUAAAAACGCAGCCUGCUCAGCCUGAUCGAUAUCCCAUCGAUUCGACCGCCGGUUUCGCCUCUUUCUCGUCGAAGUGCAUCGUCACCUGCGCGAAAAACCUUCGCGUUAUCCGCACGAAGGUAAACCUUCUCUUUCGUCUAGCAACCACCGAAACGGCAUUAUCCCCGGCGUCGCCGUCUUGGUGUCGCGGUUGUCGUCUGUUCCAUACCCAUCGGCCCCCCUCCCCCGGUAUUCCGCGCAAGCUCCGGCCGUUAUUAUUGAUCGAAACAUUUCGUCCGAUGGUCGCCUCAGAAUACCACGAACGGUCCGCACACCGUAAAUAUUCGUUCAGUGCGUCGUGGCCGAGUGACUUACGCGGAUAAAAGCGUAUCCAAAUAGACGGGGGUAUAAACGUGGCCGAACAUGGUCGGAGGAGUGACGGAAGACGGACCUGUGAUUCGACCCGUCGAUUUCGUGUCGACGACGACCAUAGUCGCACUAUGUAUAGGCGCCGUUUUCCUACUUUGCGCCGUCGCGAUGACCUGGUGGCUUUGCCGACGACGUCGCGAGCACACCAAACUGAAUUCCGACAAGUCCCUGGCGUUCAGGCCGCCCCACAGGAAACCGACGGCGGUUAAAAGUCCUGGCAGCACCAGCCACUACUUGAAGAAGAGUCCAAGCCCAACGGGACCAGCGAAAAGUCCUCCAGGUUCCGGUGGGCAAACACCCAGCCCAACCGGGUCUCAAUCGUCCAAUCCUGGUUCACAACCUAGAACACCACAGGGCACAGGUACACCUGCCCAGACACCUUCUGGCGAGGUCACAUUGAGUAUCGAGAAUGAACAACGGGAUAAGGCUGAGAUCGAGAACAAUGAGAAAACGGAACGCGAGAAAAAUCACGGGACAGAGAAUAACAAAGACAACCUCGGCCAGCUGAUGUUCAAACUGCGAUACGUGAGCGAACAAAAUGCGCUCGGGGUGACGGUGGUGAAUUGCAAAGGGUUACCUGCGAGAGAACAAAAUGCCACUAGCGAUCCUUACGUGAAAUUGAAACUGUUGCCCGAUAAGCAGCAUCAGGCGAAAACCAGAGUGCUCAGAAACACCAGAGAUCCUGUCUACGACGAGGAUUUCACAUUCUUUGGGAUAUCGAAGGAUCAGCUUCAGAAAAUCAGUCUACACUUUAUAGUGCUUAGCUUCGAUAGAUAUUCUCGAGAUGAUAUUAUCGGUGAAUUGACAUGUGCACUUUCGUCGGUGCCCGGUUUGGAGGAGGCCGAUAAUCAAGCGAUAUCAUUGUGCCGAAAAAUAUGCCCUAGAAGUCUAAAGAUUCAAUCACAAGGCAGGGGAGAACUGCUCGUCUCCCUUUGUUGGCAACCAAUCAACAGCCGAUUGACGGUAGUUGUGCUGAAGGCGCAAAAUUUGCCCAAGAUGGACGUGACUGGGUUAGCGGAUCCAUAUGUCAAGAUCUAUCUUCUGUAUAACUCUCAGCGUAUCGCAAAGAGGAAGACACGCGUGAAGAAACGUACCCUUAGUCCGGUAUUCAACGAGUCUUUCGUAUUCGAUAUUCCGAAUGGUGCUGAUGGUCUUAACAAUGUCAGCCUCGAGUUUAUGUUGAUCGAUUGGGAUCGCGUUACAAGAAACGAGGUUAUUGGACGACUUGAGUUCGGUGGGCCAGAAUGUCAAGGAUCCGCUUUGAAUCAUUGGAGAGAAGUUUGUAGCUCGCCGCAGAGGCAGAUCGCUGAUUGGCACAAAUUAAGGGAGUAAAUAAAUCUCUCCCGACUCUAUCAAUUUUCCUGGAAUCCCAUCUCCAACUAUCCAAAAAGCCCCACGUCCUUCUCUUGUAAAACCACCAAUCCCCUUGAAACCCUACGAUGAAGUAGGGUAUCUGUUUUGUAAACCUAAUACUCGAUGUAUAUUAGGCUUGAAGCGAGUGGCGGCACGUCCACCCGCGAUCGAUGCAACUGCGGAUGCACCACGUGAAACAUCCAAUCGUUACGUGUCGGCAUGAAGCGAGUACGAAUAGUAACUUCUGAUCGCACGAUAAUUUUCGAAUACAACCAGGCGUCGAUUCGAUAACGAAACUGCACUUGCUUCUCUCGAUUUAGAUACCGAAGAAAUCGAUAUUAUCAACUGAUAUUUUUCGUAUUUUCCUCGAUUCGAAUUGUUUCUACAAAUAAUAAUUUUCAUUUAAUAAAAUUUUUCUUUUCUAUGAUUAAUAACAAUACAUUUUAUGUAGACACUUAUCAAUAUUCUGUUCUGAAAAUAAAUAAUAUCAAGAUUACAACAAUAAUAUCAAUGAAAUUAUAGAUCAAUAAUAAUUGACGACUUACAAUCGAAAAUUGAUUCUUCUAUGUUUCUAGCUCUCGAAAAAAGUAUAACAUUCACUCGAUUAAAGUUGCGAUAAGAAUUAAUAUCGCUCAUUCGUACAUUCAAAUGAUCGAUAUCGUUUUCAUUAUUGAUAUCGAUUAAUCGAAUUUUAAUCAAUUAUCGACCGUCGAUUGCAUCUUCAUUUAUCGCAGUAGCAAACGAUCGCGGGAGAAACGCAUACAAAAUGCUUUACGAUAAAUAUAGUUGUUAAGAUUUCCGACCAGAUGGCAAAGGGAGGAGGAAAAUGAAGCAGUUAAAUAUGAAGCAAUCGAACAUUUGCUGAUUGAUGAACAUCGCUGCACAGGGUCCUAUUAUCGAAAGAUUUGCAAAAAAAAUUACGUUAAAAAAAAAUUUUUAAAUCAGUGAUUCUCAAUUCAAAUUGCAGAUGAAACAUACAUUAAAAUAUUACUAUUGUUAUGUAAAGAAAACGUAAUAUAAUUUAAAAAAAAAAAAAAGUAAGCAUUUAUAAAUUGAAAUUCAUGGAACUUGGUAAAUUUUUUUUUCAAUAAGAAGAAAAAUUUUACAUGACCCUGUGAUCAUGAAAAUCGUCGGGAAGGUGAAUAUGAAUUAAUCGGUAACAGAGAAUAUCGAAAGUCACAUAACACACUCGCAACUAUGUUUAUUUCGCUUGUCGUCAAAAUACAAGAAUCCCUCCAAAGUAUUCAUCAAACAUAUUACAAUAAACGGGAACAAUCUUACAAUAUAAUUUUCUGUCAGACUUUCCUCUUAGCAGAAAGAAAAGAUUCAAGUACUUCAAUUAACUUUUAUUGUUAUUUUUCGAUAUUUAUAAAAUAAAAAUUAAAAAUUUUAGUAGGUAAUAACUUCAAAUAAUAAAUGAAUAAAGUAUAUUUUUUGGAGCGAUUCUUGUACAGAAAAUAUGCAAGCAUCACGAGACGUGGAGGUGAUGCUGAAAACAGUGUAAGCAUCAAUUAAACUUAAAAACAAUAUUACGAUUAUUCGUUCCUGUUUCAAAAUUCCUUGGCUCCACGUCAACUGACGAAUGAUAAUUUGAUUAUUAGAAAUAAGGAAAGUUACGAUUGCUAAACGCAAAAAUCAACGCCAGCUUUUCCGUUAAAAUGUCGAAAAUUUUCGAUAUUUCCUCUUUCGUCCCUCUCUCUCUCUUCUCAAAAUAAAAUUUUUAAAAAGCGUUCAAUAAAGUUCUCAUACUACUUGCUCCAGCAGAAAACGCUGUAUCAAGUAUAUAAUAUAUGUUUACAUAGGAGAGAAAACAUAGUAUAUAUUGCUAUAAAAACUUUAUAGUGCAUUAAAUUAUUCGUAUAUUUUAUAACACUGUUAUAUUCAAUUUUUGAUUUCUUCAAAUAAAUAAUUGAUUUUAUAUUCGUGAAAAAAGUGAAGUAUUUCUUUCUUCACGUUAUUUGUGGAACAGGGUCGAGAAAUUGUGACGUUGUUUUAAAGUGCCAAUGAAGUCGCCAUGUUUUGCGAUUAAGAAAAGCACCUGACAAGUAAGAUGUUCAUAUACACGCGCACGUCAAAGUCAAUAACUAGUAACAUAUAAAACGAUUGCUUAUUUUUUUAUCACAACUUUCCGCUCCAUCGUCCUUCCUUUGCAAAAAAGAUAAAAAGGCAAGAUCAGGAAGAAAGAAUUAUUGAAGCAAAAAGAAAAAGAAAUUUUUUUCUUACAGAAACGAAGAUGCAACGACGAAGUAUGGUAUAGAUCAGCACCAAUAAAAAACGAAAGUAACAACAGGUACAUUGCAAUAUAUUACAGAAGACAAAAGAUACAUAAAUUUUCAUAAUUAAAUAAUGGUAGAAAAAGAAAAGAGAGGAGAAAUUCAAAAGAUCGAUAAUGUUGCACAUAAUGUUAAUCAACCAAAGAAAAAAAUGGCAUUACAUGAUCAAGAAUUUCAGAAUAUUUAUUUAAUUGCUAUACCAUUAAAAAUACAACUAUAUAAGAAACGAAUAUAAUAAGUAGCACGUAGAGAAACAUCUCAUAAAUAUCGUCUGUCGUUCUCCAUGAAGCUUGUUAUUGAUUGUUCGAUGAUUUUCUGAUAAAAUUACAGUUGAUGCGAUUUCUGACAAAUUGAUGACAAUUUCUAACGAGUAAAUCCUUAAUGUUUAUAUAGAAUGAAUAUUGGAAUAUUAUUAGAAUCAUAGAACGAAUUCAUGGAAUAUUUGAAGAAUAAAAAAUA